UUUCCGUAGGUGAACCUGCGGAAGGAUCAUUAAAGUUUUAGUCCCCUGGCCCUCUGGGCUGGGGUCUUCUAUACCACCCUUUGUUUAUUACACCUUUGUUGCUUUGGCAGGCCUGCCCUCGGGCUGCUGGCUCCGGCCGGCUCGCGUCUGCCAGAGGACCUAAACUCUGUUUGUAUAUGAAGUCUGAGUACUAUAUAAUAGUUAAAACUUUCAACAACGGAUCUCUUGGUUCUG
rnacentral:misc_RNA from 1 species